GUGGGGAAUCUUGGACAAUGGGGGCAACCCUGAUCCAGCAAUGCCACGUGUGUGAAGAAGGCCUUUGGGUCGUAAAGCACUUUAGAAGGGGAAGAAGUAGCUUGUACUAAUAAUAUAAGUCUAUUGACGGUACCCUUAGAAUAAGCACCGGCUAACUCUGUGCCAGCAGCCGCGGUGAGACAGAGGGUGCAAGCGUUAAUCGGAUUGAUUGGGCGUAAAGGGCGUGUAGGUGGUAAUCCAGGUUUAGUGUGAAAGCUCUCGGCUCAACCGAGAAAGUGCAUUAAAUACCAGAUUACUAGAGUGAGAGAGAGGACUGUGGAAUUUUCGGUGUAGCGGUGAAAUGUGUAGAUAUCGAAAGGAACACCAGUGGCGAAGGCGACAGUCUGGCUCUAUACUGACACUGAGGCGCGAAGGCGUGGGGAGCAAACAGG
rnacentral:rRNA from 1 species